GGCCGAAGCAAAGGAAACACUUGAAUUAUGGAUCAUCUUAUGUUUGUCGUCAGUAUUAUGAACAUGCCUAAGUGGAGAAGUCAGCAUCAAUCCAUGAUUUGAUCUUGAAGCACGUUUCCAGUGAAGCCUAAUCAAAUUGGCCAGGGAAAUCCCGAUAAUGUCUCGCUUUGUAGCUAUCUCAAGCCCUAAAAGUGAGUUGCUAGUCAAAUCUGAUGCCUUUGAUCUAGGAUCCUCUACGCACCUUCCAUUGACAAUUGCAAACAAGCUAUGCCCUGAAGUCACCUUGAAGAGCUCCUCCAGAUUCCCUGUUUGGGGCCAUAUCAAAAAAUCCUCCCCAACUUGAGAUCCCACAAUGGUCAGACUGAGUCGUCUACAAACUUCAAUGUAAAUAAUGCUAAGCAAAAUUGCACUGCCACAUCCAGUGCUAAGCACAGUGUGCAAGUAUGAAUACUUGGAGUCUACAACAACAGGUGACCUUUUGAANNNNNNNNNNNAACUACAUUUAUAGCAUCCAAAACUUCAACCAAAUGGCAGCCUAUGUCUCUUGAAACUAGCUCUGCUUCAACUUCUCUUGCAAUGGUAUCCAACUCACUAAGCCACUCAGUUAUGUUCUUUCCAGCCAAUGGCAUUUGCUCCACACAAUUCCACUCUUGUUCCUCCAUUGGGACUGAAGCAGUUCUCCUUUCAUUUAGGAGUGAGCGAGCAUCCAUCUCUUUAUUAAAGGCAAGAAAUGCCUC
rnacentral:misc_RNA from 1 species